GAUGAACGCUGGCGGCGUGCCUAAUACAUGCAAGUCGAGCGAACGGACGAGAAGCUUGCUUCUCUGAUGUUAGCGGCGGACGGGUGAGUAACACGUGGAUAACCUACCUAUAAGACUGGGAUAACUUCGGGAAACCGGAGCUAAUACCGGAUGAUAUUUUGAACCGCUUGGUUCAAAAGUGAAAGACGGUCUUGCUGUCACUUAUAGAUGGAUCCGCUCUGCAUUAGCUAGUUGGUAAGGUAACGGCUUACCAAGGCAACGAUGCAUAGCCGACCUGAGAGGAUGGUAGGCCACACUGCACCUGAGGCGCCGUCCAGACUCCUACGGGAGGCAGCAGUAGGGAAUCUUCCGCAAUGGGCGGAAGCCUUACGGAACAACGCCACGUGGGUGGUAAAGGUCUUCGGAUCGUAAAACUCUGUUAUUAGGGAAGAACAUAUGUGUGAGUAACUGUGCACAUCUUGACGGUACCUAAUCAAAAAGCCACGGCUAACUACGUG
rnacentral:rRNA from 1 species